ensembl:lincRNA 2310001H17Rik RIKEN cDNA 2310001H17 gene
AUGGGUUCCAAGGUGGGAACUCGGGUGUGUCGAGGAUGGGAACGAAGCCAGAGACCAGAAGUACAAUUACUUCUGACACUCUUCACAGUACCACCUGACGUGGUUAAACAGCCCUGGCUUAACGUUCCAGACACUGCUGCCAAUACUUGCGGCUGUUAGUUCCUGAUUUCUGCUUAAGGCUUUGCAGUUCUGCUUAUAGUCCUGUGAUCAGAGACACUUCCUCCUGUGGCAGCUGAAUUCCACGUUUCCCGAAACAGGAUUUCCCUAUUUUGUAGAGAACUUCCAUGAUUGAAUCUUCCUGCUUCUGGAAAUAAAAUGGGUAGUUCCUUGCAUACAAA